rnacentral:rRNA from 1 species
GACGAACGCUGGCGGCGUGCCUAAUACAUGCAAGUCGAACGCUUCUUUCCUCCCGAGUGCUUGCACUCAAUUGGAAAGAGGAGUGGCGGACGGGUGAGUAACACGUGGGUAACCUACCCGUCAGAGGGGGAUAACACUUGGAAACAGGUGCUAAUACCGCAUAACAGUUUAUGCCGCAUGGCAUAAGAGUGAAAGGCGCUUUCGGGUGUCGUUGAUGGAUGGACCCGCGGUGCAUUAGCUAGUUGGUGAGGUAACGGCUCACCAAGGCCACGAUGCAUAGCCGACCUGAGAGGGUGAUCGGCCACACUGGGACUGAGACACGGCCCAGACUCCUACGGGAGGCAGCAGUAGGGAAUCUUCGGCAAUGGACGAAAGUCUGACCGAGCAACGCCGCGUGAGUGAAGAAGGUUUUCGGAUCGUAAAACUCUGUUGUUAGAGAAGAACAAGGACGUUAGUAACUGAACGUCCCCUGACGGUAUCUAACCAGAAAGCCACGGCUAACUACGUG